rnacentral:misc_RNA from 1 species
UGGAAGUAAAGUCGUAACAAGGUUCCGUAGGUGAACCUGCGGAAGGAUCAUUAAUAAUGGCUCCGCGUUAGGAGCACUUAAUAAUCCUACCUUUGUGAAUUGUUGUUUGAAAUAAUUUUUUUAAAAUAUUGAAUGUCUUUCCUGUUGAAUUAGAGUGUUUUCGGACACAAAGAUUCGCAGGGGAUAGUCAAUAAUUUUAAAAAGACCUUUUUUAAUUAAACUUUGUAUUCAUCGUCUAAAUUAUUUUUAUAAUAUAAAAACAACUUUUGACAAUGGAUCUCUUGGUUCUCGCAACGAUGAAGAACGCAGCAAAUGCGAUAGUAGUGUGAAUUGCAGAAUACGUGAAUCAUCGAAUCUUCGAACGCAUAUUGCACUUUUUAGUUUACUAAAAAGUAUGUCUGUUUGAGUAUCAGUAAAUAUACUCAUAAAACAUUGUUUUUAUGUUAUGAUGUUUUACAACGAUACAGUUGUUUCACUUUAAUUUUUUAAAUUUGAUUUUUCUAAUUUUAAAAUAAAUUGGAUAAAUUUCCGUAAAAAGAAUAACCUAAACAUUUUAAUUUAAAUUAGAAACCUUCAAAAAAAAGAAUUAAUAAAUAACUUGAUCUCAAAUCAGAUAAGAGUACCGCUGAACUUAAGCAUAUCAAUAAGCGGAGGAAAGAAACUAACAAGAUUCCCUUAGUAACGGCGAGUGAAGCGGGAAGAGCUCAAAUUGAAAUCUAAGGUUUUACCUUGACGAUUGUAGUUUAAAGAAGUGUUUUCUGUGAAGUUUGGUAAAAGUCUUUGAAUAGGACACAUAGAGGGUGAGAAUCCCGUAUUGCCAUUAUUUCAGCUGUGUGAUACACUUUCAAAGAGUCGGAUUGUUGGGAAUGCAGUCCAAAAUGGUGGUAAAUUUCAUCUAAAGCUAAUAUUGGCGAGAGACCGAUAGCGAACAAGUACGUGAGGAAAGAUGAAAAGAACUUUGAAAGGAGUUACAGUACGUGAAAUUGUCAAAAGGAGCGUUUGACACCAGUGUUUUUCUCGAAAUCAAUAAAAGAGUUGGAUUUUGUUGUAUUGACCUUAACAGCUUUCUUCACUCUUUUCCUGCUUUUUUAAUGCACUUUCGUUUAACAAGUCACAUCAGUUUCUUUUGUUGUAAAAGGGUCAUUGGAAGGUGGCUUUCUUUCGGAGAAAGUGUUUAUAGCCUUUGAUCUCUGCAAUCGGAGAGACUGAGGUCUGCAGCGUAGAUCCUUCGGGUUAGAUACAUUGUGCUAAGCUAUAACUUUUCAUAGACAACUUGUGACUAUGUUUAGUCAUGUAGCUUACUCGCUUAUGCUAUUUUACCUACGCUUAGGAUGUUGAC